UACAGAGGUCUCAAGCGUUGUUCGGAUUCAUUGGGCGUAAAGGGUGCGUAGGCGGCGCGGUAAGUCGGGUGUGAAAUCUCGGGGCUUAACUCCGAAACUGCAUUCGAUACUGCCGUGCUUGAGGACUGGAGAGGAGACUGGAAUUUACGGUGUAGCGGUGAAAUGCGUAGAUAUCGUAAGGAAGACCAGUGGCGAAGGCGGGUCUCGUGGACAGUUC
rnacentral:rRNA from 1 species